rnacentral:rRNA from 1 species
GUCUUCUUGAUUAUACUUUGAAGUCUGUCCUGCUCACUGAUAAUUAAUUAAAGAGCCGCGGUACUUUGACCGUGCGAAGGUAGCAUAAUAAUUAGUCUCUUAAUUAGGGGCUUGUAUGAAUGGAUUGACGAGAAAUAUACUGUCUCUUAAUAAAUAAUAAAAUUUAACUUUUGAGUUAAAAGGCUUAAAUUAACCUUAAGGACGAGAAGACCCUAUAGAGCUUUACAUAUUAUUUUAAUAUAUCUUUUGGUUUAUCUUUUUAUAUUAAUUGCUUAUGUUUUGUUGGGGUGACAUGAAGAAUAAAUAAACUCUUCAUUAUAAAAUCAUUAGUUUAUGUUUAGUUGAUCCAUAAUUUAUGAUCAUAAGAUAAAGUUACCUUAGGGAUAACAGCGUAAUCAUUUUUUAGAGAUCAAAUCGACAAAAUGGAUUGCGACCUCGAUGUUGGAUUAGGAUAAGUUUUGGGUGCAGAAGCUUAAAAAUUAGGUCUGUUCGACCUUUAAAUUCCU